rnacentral:rRNA from 1 species
GACGAACGCUGGCGGCGUGCUUAACACAUGCAAGUCGAACGAAGCACUCUACUUGAUUUCCUUCGGGAAUGAUUGUUUUGUGACUGAGUGGCGGACGGGUGAGUAACGCGUGGGUAACCUGCCUCAUACAGGGGGAUAACAGUUGGAAACGGCUGCUAAUACCGCAUAAGAUUGUGGCUUCGCAUGAAGUAGCAAUUAAAGGAGCAAUCCGCUAUGAGAUGGGCCCGCGGCGCAUUAGCUAGUUGGUGAGGUAACGGCUCACCAAGGCGACGAUGCGUAGCCGACCUGAGAGGGUGAUCGGCCACAUUGGGACUGAGACACGGCCCAG